rnacentral:rRNA from 1 species
GACGAACGCUGGCGGCGUGCUUAACUCAUGCAAGUCGAACGGAAAGGCCCUGCUUUUGUGGGGUGCUCGAGUGGCGAACGGGUGAGUAACACGUGAGUAACCUGCCCUUGACUUUGGGAUAACUUCAGGAAACUGGGGCUAAUACCGGAUAGGAGCUCCUGCUGCAUGGUGGGGGUUGGAAAGUUUCGGCGGUUGGGGAUGGACUCGCGGCUUAUCAGCUUGUUGGUGGGGUAGUGGCUUACCAAGGCUUUGACGGGUAGCCGGCCUGAGAGGGUGACCGGCCACAUUGGGACUGAGAUACGGCCCAGACUCCUACGGGAGGCAGCAGUGGGGAAUAUUGCACAAUGGGCGGAAGCCUGAUGCAGCAACGCCGCGUGCGGGAUGACGGCCUUCGGGUUGUAAACCGCUUUCGCCUGUGACGAAGCGUGAGUGACGGUAAUGGGUAAAGAAGCACCGGCUAACUACGUGCCAGCAGCCGCGGUGAUACGUAGGGUGCGAGCGUUGUCCGGAUUUAUUGGGCGUAAAGGGCUCGUAGGUGGUUGAUCGCGUCGGAAGUGUAAUCUUGGGGCUUAACCCUGAGCGUGCUUUCGAUACGGGUUGACUUGAGGAAGGUAGGGGAGAAUGGAAUUCCUGGUGGAGCGGUGGAAUGCGCAGAUAUCAGGAGGAACACCAGUGGCGAAGGCGGUUCUCUGGGCCUUUCCUGACGCUGAGGAGCGAAAGCGUGGGGAGCGAACAGGCUUAGAUACCCUGGUAGUCCACGCUGUAAACGGUGGGUACUAGGUGUGGGGUCCAUUCCACGGGUUCCGUGCCGUAGCUAACGCUUUAAGUACCCCGCCUGGGGAGUACGGCCGCAAGGCUAAAACUCAAAGGAAUUGACGGGGCCCCGCACAAGCGGCGGAGCAUGCGGAUUAAUUCGAUGCAACGCGUAGAACCUUACCUGGGUUUGACAUGGAUCGGGAGCGCUCAGAGAUGGGUGUGCCUCUUUUGGGGUCGGUUCACAGGUGGUGCAUGGCUGUCGUCAGCUCGUGUCGUGAGAUGUUGGGUUAAGUCCCGCAACGAGCGCAACCCUUGUUCACUGUUGCCAGCACGUUAUGGUGGGGACUCAGUGGAGACCGCCGGGGUCAACUCGGAGGAAGGUGGGGAUGACGUCAAGUCAUCAUGCCCCUUAUGUCCAGGGCUUCACGCAUGCUACAAUGGCUGGUACAGAGAGUGGCGAGCCUGUGAGGGUGAGCGAAUCUCGGAAAGCCGGUCUCAGCUCGGAUUGGGGUCUGCAACUCGACCUCAUGAAGUCGGAGUCGCUAGUAAUCGCAGAUCAGCAACGCUGCGGUGAAUACGUUCCCGGG